UAUUGAAAUCAUCUUAUUUAUACUCUAACAUCUUAUGUACUACUUAUUUACUACAAUACAUAUUUACUUAAAAUUCUUACUAGCUGAAUCUCUCGCUUGCACAUAUGAGCAUGCAUUCAUAUGUGCCUAGCUCAAAGCAUAGCUCAGUGAAGUCACCAACACACACACAACCAUUUCUAAUGUGGAGCUACAAGCAAUGCAUCCACAGACAUAUCUACAUGUACCAAGCGUGAAGGUGCUAGCAGCGCAGUCGUACAUAUUUACAUACAUAGAGCUAGCGCAUGCACCAGAUAUAGCUUGUGCCGCUUGUGUGUUUAGCGUGUGAAAAUAACAAAGUAAGGAAUUUGUUUAUGCUGCAAAAAUGCAUAACACAGGCGUGUGGCUUUGUUGUUGUUAGUGACUUAUUCUGAUAUACUACACUUAUUCCUGAGAAACUAGUGUUCCAAAAGUGGC